rnacentral:lncRNA from 1 species
AGGGAAGCCAGAUCAAAUUAAAUUGGCCUCCAAUCUCCACAGGUUUGCCCACCAUCCAGGACACCCUGAGAGAAGCGCCUCGAGGCUGCAUAGAAAGGAAGAAGUCAGGCUCCAAACAGAGACGUUCCUUGGAGAGUUGGAGGAGAUUCCUUAAACUGCGAACUGCGGAUGCUUCCUUGUGCUUGUUACUGGGGCCGCCCACCAUCAGUUUCUACAGUGGGAUUAGCAGACCUCCAGGACACCUGGACGAGGAGGCGCCUCUCUCUCCGCCUCAGAGGUGUGAAUAGUAACUGAUUUUGUUGUUUCAUUUAUCAGAGAGAGUGCACGCACAGCAGGCAGCUGGAGAAGGAGGCUCUCUGCUGAGCAAGGAACCCAACAUAGGACUCAACCCCAGGACCCUGGGAUCAUGACCUGAACUGAAGGCAGACGCUUAUCCAACUGAGCCACCCAGCCAUCCCAUCAACAAAUAUUAUUCCUAAUGGUGAAAUGCUAAGAGCAUCCCAUUUAAAGUCAGUAACAAGACCAGGAAAAAUAUUCAAAUGCAAAUCAUCCUAAUUACCAGGAACAGACAAAAAAUGUAAUAAAAAAAAAAAAC